CGGGUGAGUAAUGCGUGACCAACCUGCCCCAUGCUCCAGAAUAGCUCUUGGAAACGGGUGGUAAUGCUGGAUGCUCCAACUUGACGCAUGUCUUGUUGGGAAAGUGUUUAGUGGCAUGGGAUGGGGUCGCGUCCUAUCAGCUUGUAGGCGGGGUAAUGGCCCACCUAGGCUUCGACGGGUAGCCGGCCUGAGAGGGCGGACGGCCACAUUGGGACUGAGAUGCGGCCCAGACUCCUACGGGAGGCAGCAGGG
rnacentral:rRNA from 1 species